GGGAACGUGGUGUAACGGCAGCACCCGAUACUUUGACUCUCGUAGUCCUCGUUCGAAUCGAUGCGUCCCUGCCA
rnacentral:tRNA from 1 species